GUGCUCGCUUCGGCAGCACAUGCACUAAAAAACUGGAGCAAUACAGAGAGGAUUACAUGAACCCUGCGCAAGAAUGACACGCAAAUUCGCGAAGCGCUCCAUACUUGA
ensembl:snRNA U6 U6 spliceosomal RNA